rnacentral:snRNA from 1 species
GUACUCGCUUCGACAGCACAUAUACUAAAAUUGGAAUGAUACAGAGAACAUUAACAUGGCCCCUGCUCAAGAAUGACAUGCAAAUUUGUGAAAAUUAAAUUUGA